rnacentral:tRNA from 1 species
GGCUGGGUAGCUCAAUGGUGGAGCAGGGCCUUCAUAAGACCACGGUUGAGAGUUCGAAUCUCUCCUCAGCCACCA